ACAUACUCUUUAGUGAAAUAAAUAAGACACACAUGUGCAAACAUCAUAUUGUUUCAUUAGUGUGAUAAGCUGAAAGAAAAACAUGUAUAUGUGUAUGUAUAUGUAUAUAAAAAUAGUUAAUAUAAUUAUGCUACUGAUUUCUUUAAGUUUGCUAAAGAGAAAGAUUUGUACUGGUAUUGUUGAACAAUUGAAGGCAGGUGUCUUGUGCUCUGGCUGAAUGAUUUGGGGAUGACAAUAUGCAGAGUAUGUUCCAUUGUUACCUCCUGAUUGAUGUGCUUUGAAAUCUUAUUGUAGUUUUUUGUCUUCUUUCUUUCUUUAUAUGUUUUUAAUAAAAUGAAUUUGAAAAAAACCUACUUAACUGAUGUAGGGAGCCGAGUGACAGGCAUUGCUGCCUAGAUGUCUCUCUCUCUCUCUCCUAUGGGCACUGCGUCUGCCUACAUUAACCAUAAUCCUCUUCUGCUUACGUCACUUAUCCGGAUGUGAUGGUAACCCUGUUGUAUUCAUCUGUUUAACCUCUUCCUGUCCCAGCUCCCGCCCUUAGCCUAUAAAAGGUGUGAUUAUUUUCUCAAUAAACCGGAGGCUUGAUUGGGUUAACAUCAACUUGCCUUCGUCUCUUUUUGUCUCCCCCAUGUCUUUUAUUUAAUCCCCGUUUCUCCUCCAGGAGUUCCGAACUUGUUGAUCUGCAGGCCGGAUCAAGUGGCGCUCAGCGUGGGAGCCCCUGGCACGGAGAAGUUAACGAGGGAGCCGUUCGAGACACAGCCGGCUUAAACCGAAAGUGAAAGCAAAUUGAACCAGAGACCUCGGCCGAGGAAUGAGUAAACUGAAUCAAGGAUUAAAGCUUAAAGCAACAGGACAUUAAAUCAAGUGCUGAGACCUGCGCAGACGACUACCCGACGUCCUGCCCGAGUCACGGUGACACAUCUCCUUAGAGCCUUAUGCUGCUUAACCAGCCUUCUUGAGCCACACCACACCCAUGGUGGAUUUUGACCCCUGCCAAACAGACUGCAACUGCUGACAGCCAUGCACAGAACCCCAUGACUGUGGAAGAGGCUCUUCUCGGUCUGGAGGAACAUACGCCAGCCAAAUAGACUGCAUCCAGUGUUAUACAAGGCAUGCUCCAAGACACAGGAGAAUGACUUCAUACAGAGACACCAACAAAUGACUGUCAACCCCUUCUCCUUGAUUUUGGGGGGGGGGAGUUUUUCCCUUACCUAGUCCCACUUUUGGGUCCCCUAGCUGACCUAUUGUUUCUCAUUUCUGUGAGUCUUGUAUUUUUCAGAGGAUUAUGAUGUUCAUUAAUAACCGGAUAGACGCAUUUAUGGCAAAGCCCAUUCAGGUACACUACCAUCAGCUGGAGAUGACAGAUCAACAAACCUACAGGGAAGGAAUUCCCACGAGUGGCCCAUAUGAUGAUGCGGCCUGACUGCCCUGGGGCAAUGGACAGGCAGUCAGAGACGGGCAACUAGGACAUGCAUGUUAAUUCCAACGGCCACCUAAGACAGGCACAGGACCAACUGCUGUUCUGCAAGCCCAUGACGGGUAAGGCCUGGUUGGGUUCAUGCAAUGAGGUCCUUGACCUAAGACAGACGCUGUCCUCACAGGGCCUGCCAUACUCUUAAUUAAAUAAUAUAAAAAGGGAGGAGAUGUAGGGAGCCGAGUGACAGGCAUUGCUGCCUAGAUGUCUCUCUCUCUCUCUCCUAUGGGCACUGCGUCUGCCUACAUUAACCAUAAUCCUCUUCUGCUUACGUCACUUAUCCGGAUGUGAUGGUAACCCUGUUGUAUUCAUCUGUUUAACCUCUUCCUGUCCCAGCUCCCGCCCUUAGCCUAUAAAAGGUGUGAUUGUUUUCUCAAUAAACCGGAGGCUUGAUUGGGUUAACAUCAA